CCCUUAGAUGUUCUGGGCCGCACGCGCGCUACACUGACGAAGUCAGCGAGCAUCUCCUACGCCGAAAGGUGCGGGGAAUCUUGUGAAACUUUGUCGUGCUGGGGAUUGAUUUUUGAAAUUCUUGAUCAUCAACGAGGAAUUCCUGGUAAGCGCAAGUCAGCAGCUUGCGUUGAUUACGUCCCUGCCCUUUGUACACACCGCCCGUCGCUACUACCGAUUGAAUGGUUUAGUGAGAUUUUUGGACUGGAACUCUCUUGUUCAGCAAUGAACGAGAGGGACUCUGGGAAGCUAUUCUAACUGUAUCAUUUAGAGGAAGUAAAAGUCGUAACA
rnacentral:rRNA from 1 species